CUAUAUCCACUUACACCUGUGAACUGUUCUAUUACUUGACGCAAGUCGAGUAUUUUUACAAACAAUGUGUAAUGAACGUCGUUUUAUUAUAACAAAAUAAAACUUUCAACAACGGAUCUCUUGGCUCUCGCAUCGAUGAAGAACGCAGCGAAUUGCGAUAAGUAAUGUGAAUUGCAGAAUUCAGUGAAUCAUCGAAUCUUUGAACGCAGCUUGCGCUCUCUGGUAUUCCGGAGAGCAUGCCUGUUUCAGUGUCAUGAAAUCUCAACCACUAGGGUUUCCUAAUGGAUUGGAUUUGGGCGUCUGCGAUCUCUGAUCGCUCGCCUUAAAAGAGUUAGCAAGUUUGACAUUAAUGUCUGGUGUAAUAAGUUUCACUGGGUCCAUUGUGUUGAAGCGUGCUUCUAAUCGUCCGCAAGGACAAUUACUUUGACUCUGGCCUGAAAUCAGGUAGGACUACCCGCUGAACUUAAGCAUAUCAA
rnacentral:rRNA from 1 species